ACGUAAUUCCAAUCUCCGCGGCCAUUUUGAAAAGCGGUCCCGGCGCUGCGCGUGAUCACGUGAUCUUGCACGAAAACGAGACGCCUACUGAUGCUUCAGCUAGCCUACACACUGCAUUCCAGUGGGGCAUCGAGCGGUGCUGCAUCUUCUUCUGUAAAUUACGCUCUUUUACGACAAACACAUUGACGACUGCCAAGAACGGAUCCAAGAAGAUAUUCAGUGCAGGGUGCUACUGCAAAGCAUAUGGGUGCAACAGCUCAAUGUACAAAUGUGUGCGUGGGAAAACAAGUCCUGAAGAAAAUAUGAUUUUUCGGUAUUCCCAAAAGAGUAUUGGGAGACAGAAGUAAAGUCAAUCAUUUGGCUGCAUGCUUUAAUCAAAAGACUGAAGACAGACAUGUACUAUCCAUACAAGGUGCUAUCAUAUAACUUACAGUGGUCUUACUGGGUUUACUAGCAUGUUCAAUAAAAAUUGCCAGCUUAUAAGUAAUAGUAUACUUAUUUAAAAAGUGUGAUGUCAGGAUAUCACAGAACAUCAUCAUUCAAUAAUUACUUUUACCAUUUAUACAAUAAAUUGAAAAGCCAACAAAGAGAUGAGAGCUACUGUACAAUAAAAUACAUGUUGUUCAAGACUUUAAUUAAGUUUGCCUUUACAUUUCAUUGUUCACUAAUAAUCAUAAAAGUGUACAUGACAGAUUGUUAGCUAUUGCCUGAGAUUGACAACAUCACCGACACCCACCAGCGAGGAAGUCAUCUGCCAUAAGUAUCAUCCCCCAACCACUUAAUGAGAAAGUUUUUUAAAGUUUGUGAUCCCAGACUAGGAAAACUGUUACAACAGGCACUGAGCUGGAUACAUAAAGCCAUAACAGCUAAUGCAACCUUAGUCAAGCCCAAUCAUAGAGAAUUUUAUCAGUCUCAUCCUCACUUAACACAACUUGCAACUGAGGAGAAACAGGAGAAAGGUAAGAGUCCAGCUGUCCUUCUUCAGUUUUUUAAGGUUCCAUGUACCUGUCUGGUACAAUUUCUUUCCACACUUGAUUCUUCUUGUCAGAAGUUCUGGCAGGAUACUAGUAGUUGUCUUGAAAAAGUGGUCCAACUCAUGAACUUCGGCUUCUCUUUGAUCUGCCUGCAUGUCUCUGUGAGAGAUCU